rnacentral:rRNA from 1 species
AGCGAACGCUGGCGGCAUGCCUAACACAUGCAAGUCGAACGAGACCUUCGGGUCUAGUGGCGCACGGGUGCGUAACGCGUGGGAACCUGCCCUUAGGUUCGGAAUAACUCCCCGAAAGGGGUGCUAAUACCGGAUAAUGUCUUCGGACCAAAGAUUUAUCGCCUUUGGAUGGGCCCGCGUUGGAUUAGCUAGUUGGUAGGGUAAAAGCCUACCAAGGCGACGAUCCAUAGCUGGUCUGAGAGGAUGAUCAGCCACACUGGGACUGAGACACGGCCCAGACUCCUACGGGAGGCAGCAGUGGGGAAUAUUGGACAAUGGGCGAAAGCCUGAUCCAGCAAUGCCGCGUGAGUGAUGAAGGCCUUAGGGUUGUAAAGCUCUUUUACCCGGGAUGAUAAUGACAGUACCGGGAGAAUAAGCUCCGGCUAACUCCG